AGAGUUUGAUCCUGGCUCAGAUUGAACGCUGGCGGCAUGCCUUACACAUGCAAGUCGAACGGCAGCACGGGAGCAAUCCUGGUGGCGAGUGGCGAACGGGUGAGUAAUAUAUCGGAACGUGCCCAAUCGUGGGGGAUAACGCAGCGAAAGCUGUGCUAAUACCGCAUACGAUCUACGGAUGAAAGCGGGGGAUUCGCAAGAACCUCGCGCGAAUGGAGCGGCCGAUAUCAGAUUAGCUAGUUGGCGGGGUAAAAGCCCACCAAGGCGACGAUCUGUAGCUGGUCUGAGAGGACGACCAGCCACACUGGAACUGAGACACGGUCCAGACUCCUACGGGAGGCAGCAGUGGGGAAUUUUGGACAAUGGGCGCAAGCCUGAUCCAGCAAUGCCGCGUGCAGGAUGAAGGCCUUCGGGUUGUAAACUGCUUUUGUACGGAACGAAACGGCCCUUUCUAAUAAAGAGGGCUAAUGACGGUACCGUAAGAAUAAGCACCGGCUAACUACGUGCCGGCAGCCGCGGUAAUACGUAGGGUGCGAGCGUUAAUCGGAAUUACUGGGCGUAAAGCGUGCGCAGGCGGUGAUGUAAGACAGAUGUGAAAUCCCCGGGCUCAACCUGGGACCUGCAUUUGUGACUGCAUCGCUAGAGUACGGUAGAGGGGGAUGGAAUUCCGCGUGUAGCAGUGAAAUGCGUAGAUAUGCGGAGGAACACCGAUGGCGAAGGCAAUCCCCUGGACCUGUACUGACGCUCAUGCACGAAAGCGUGGGGAGCAAACAGGAUUAGAUACCCUGGUAGUCCACGCC
rnacentral:rRNA from 1 species